rnacentral:rRNA from 1 species
AGAGUUUGAUCAUGGCUCAGGACGAACGCUGGCGGCGUGCUUAACACAUGCAAGUCGAACGGAAAGGCCCUUCGGGGUACUCGAGUGGCGAACGGGUGAGUAACACGUGGGUGAUCUGCCCUGCACUUUGGGAUAAGCCUGGGAAACUGGGUCUAAUACCGAAUAGGACCGCGCGCUUCAUGGUGUGUGGUGGAAAGCUUUUGCGGUGUGGGAUGGGCCCGCGGCCUAUCAGCUUGUUGGUGGGGUAAUGGCCUACCAAGGCGACGACGGGUAGCCGGCCUGAGAGGGUGACCGGCCACACUGGGACUGAGAUACGGCCCAGACUCCUACGGGAGGCAGCAGUGGGGAAUAUUGCACAAUGGGCGCAAGCCUGAUGCAGCGACGCCGCGUGAGGGAUGACGGCCUUCGGGUUGCAAACCUCUUUCAAUAGGGACGAAGCGCAAGUGACGGUACCUAUAGAAGAAGCACCGGCCAACUACGUGCCAGCAGCCGCGGUAAUACGUAGGGUGCGAGCGUUGUCCGGAAUUACUGGGCGUAAAGAGCUCGUAGGUGGUUUGUCGCGUUGUUCGUGAAAACUCACAGCUUAACUGUGGGCGUGCGGGCGAUACGGGCAGACUAGAGUACUGCAGGGGAGACUGGAAUUCCUGGUGUAGCGGUGGAAUGCGCAAAUAUCAGGAGGAACACCGGUGGCGAAGGCGGGUCUCUGGGCAGUAACUGACGCUGAGGAGCGAAAGCGUGGGGAGCGAACAGGAUUAGAUACCCUGGUAGUCCAA